UACGUAGGGGGCGAGCGUUGUUCGGAAUUACUGGGCGUAAAGGGCGCGUAGGCGGCGUGUCAAGUCAGGCGUGAAAUCCCCGGGCUCAACCUGGGAAUGGCGAUGGAUACUGGGCAGCUAGAGUGUGUCAGAGGAUGGUGGAAUUCCCGGUGUAGCGGUGAAAUGCGUAGAGAUCGGGAGGAACAUCAGUGGCGAAGGCGGCCAUCUGGGACAACACUGACGCUGAAGCACGAAAGCGUGGGGAGCAAACAGG
rnacentral:rRNA from 1 species